ensembl:lncRNA
GGAAAGUACCGAGCGCACCAUCUGCUCAGAGUAGGUGCUCAAGAAACACUGGUUAUAUAUACUGGCUGAAUCCAAAUGUGACCCCUGAGGCUUGUUAGCUAACGAGGGAGCAUGUGUUGAAGUGGCUGUUAAUGUGUAGAGACAACAAGCAGUCAAAACUAUUUUUCAAUUUUGUUGACCGGCCACAUUUGCAGCAGGGCCUCCGAAAACCAAACUUUGCACUCGUCUUAUCAGCCCGUUGGUCGGGCCACUUGCGUAUGUUGUUGGCUUGCAUCCACUUUCUCUGAAAUGCCACAAAGGAACCAGAUUGCGGAAGCCACUUGGGGAUUUUCCACUUCUCAAUGGGCUGCUCUGGAGCCCUUCAGACCCUUGAGAUCCGGAAGAAGGAAACUGCCACUGAGAAGGGGACUCAAGGGGCCACAAGUUGAGUGGGGGGCCCUCAGGACCCGGAGCAGGACGACCUGAGACAGCAGCCUCUCUCUUCUGCCAAGUGGCUGUUUGGCCUUGAAAAGUCACUCUCUUCUCUCUCUGGGUUCCCCGAAAGGGGAGAGGGGAUGGGCUAGAAAUCGAAUACCCUCCUCGAUGACUAAUCAGAAGAAGAAAUAUCUCUGAGCUCAGAGGAGCCUACUAUGGUCUUCAACCUGUUGCGUUUACCAUCCUAUCUAAUCUUUGUGACCAUCCUGCAGAUUUCGGGGAGCCUCUCCAUCUUACAGAUGAAGAAACAGGAGGGGAGAUUAAGUAGCGAGCCCACGUCACAGCAAAUGAAAUGGCAGAGACGACUUGGGUGCUAGUCAGACAGGAUUCAACAUCCCAACAGAUGAACACCCACUCCUCGGUUCUUCCACUAGGAUGGUCUCUGAGGGUCAACUCUGAUGUUUCUCCACAAAGCUUGAAUCACGGACCCUGCAACACGGAAUGCAAUUUAUUCCGCCUUCCAGAGACGAAAAGCAUCAAAGCAAGCUUCCGGGAAUUUAAUUUCAGCGUUUGCAUCCAAGUCACCAGGGGCUCAGGAGGCCAGGCGGGACACACUGCCCCGCGCUCGCUCUCGCCUUCUCUCUCUGUCAGAGGUGAGCAGCUCCAGCUCCCCCAUCAGAGAUCUGAGGGUCUGCCCCAUGCCUACCUCGUUCCACCGCAUCGAAUGAAUCCCCACUCUUGCCCAGCCCCAUGGCCCCAUUUCCACCGCCCCUGGGAGGGCAGAGCUCCCCACUCCACUCUCACAGACUUGCUGACACACCCUCAGCCACUGCCCUGGCCCUGGUUUGCCUCUCUAGGCACCUUCUCCACUCUCUCAAGGUUAUCCAUUCUGAAAUAUUAUCACGUUCCUAUUACAGCCGUCCAAUGGCUCCCCAAACCCACAGAGUCAAGGAUCAGCUCCCAGCAGAGCUUCCAAGACUCCCCGUCAUCCAACCACCCCCUCCAUCUCCAGCCCCAUCUCACCACACCCACCACACACACACACACACACACACACACACACACACACACACACGGAGCAGUGCCGGGCCUCGGGGCUUCCCGCCUCCACCCUUCUCCUCCUCUUCCCAGAACACUCUGCCCACCCUCGUCACAUGCUCACCCUUCUUCGCCUGCCAGCUCCUCCUCGCCCUUCAAGACUCAGCUUGGCAUCACCCCACAGGGAGCGUCCCCUGGGCCGCGGGUUGGGAGGUGCCUCCUCUGAGGACUGGUCAGGCCUCUUGAUGGCUGCAGACAAGGCACCCGCUCCCUGGUGACACCUCUGCCCUUCCCCAUCUCACCCAGCAGCCUGACUCUGAAUUCAGCAUGGCCUUCCUCCUGGUCCUCAGGCCCUGCCACUGGGCCUCUGGGGUGAAGUGUUCCAUCUAUGUUCCUUGGAAGUCCUGAAGCACCGUGGAGGUUGCACUGGGUCUCCAGUCUUACCAGGAAGGAGAAACAGCGGUCCAGGAACUCGGUACCCUGACUCUCCCGUGGAUUGUACUUAUUGCUCAGUCUCACCUUCUCCUGUGGACCCAGGUGUGCGCCUCCCGUGGGAGAUGGGAGUGGGAUCCUAGAGUGGGAUGGACCUAGGCAAUGCCCCCGGGCCCCUGCACCUCCAUGUCUUCAUCUGUAAAAUGAGGUCCUUAGUGCCUGAUGCAGGAUUGGCGGGAGCAUUCAGUGAGAUUAUCUAGAUGAAGCCUGAGGCGAGGUGCCUGGUAGAGAAACACGCUAAAUGUUGCCGCUGUUAUGACGACUUUCCCUGUAAUACUCUAAGCCCUUUAGACGCGCAUCCUCGCUUCAUCCUCUGAAAUCUGGAUUAUCAACCCCAUCCUACAAACAAGGAAACUGAAGCUCCAAAGGCUCAUCUCCCAUGAUCCAGGUCAAAGAGCUAACCUAAUAGUUCCCCAACUGUGCUCAGCAUCAGAAUCGCAUGGAGAGCUGGUUAAAACAAUUGAACAUUUGCAGUGUGCUGGGGCAGGGGUUGGCAAACUAUUUCUAUAGAGGGCCAGAGAGUAAAUAUUUUAGGCUUUGCGGGCCGUGGGGUCACUGACACAGCUAUGAACCCUGCCUUUAUAGCAGACAAAACAAUAAGGAAACAAAUGGGUGUGACUUCUUCCAGGAAGAGUUUAUUUGCAAAAACAGGCAGAAAGCCAGAUUUGGGCCACAGGUCACCAUCAAGUGCUGGGAAAAUGGAGAUGAUCAGAGAGAACGAAACAGGCAGAUGCAGAGCCCUGUGACCAGGCCUCUAACGCAGAGGUUCCUUCGAACGAGAUGAAGGACAGCCCAGAGAAGAGAGCUAGACGCAGUCAGAGAAGGACCGACGCAGGAAAUGACUUUGACUGGAUCCUGAGAAUCUCUUACAGGCACCCACAGCAUCACAGCAAUAGAGGGACCAAUCCAGCCUCCCACUGAGCGGAGAGGGAAAUUGAGGCCCAGGGAGAAAGAUGGCGAAGCUUGGACAAGGACGCAGGUCUUUCGACCGUCAGAUGCGUGCCUUCUCACGUCAGCCCACAGGUUCCUCUUGCCGAGAUCCUCUCCAAGCUAACACCCGAUCGUGGAAACAGACCAUACUCAACCCAGCAAGUCUUCUAAAAGUCCUUGUGCUGUGGUCUGGGGACUGAGCUCUCUGGCUCUGGAUUGGACCAGAUCUUUGCACAGAUUCCAGCUCUAUCACUGCCCAGCUGGGUGACCUUAGAGAAGCCACUCACCUUCUGCACCUGCCUUCUCAUCUGUAAACUCGGCAUGGUAAGGAAACGAAGACUCCAGGAGCCUAUUUUCCAAAGGCCGCAUUACCAACAAAGGACAGACCGAGAUUUGGACUCUCAUGUCCUGAUCCCCGCCUCAGGCUCUUUCUGCCAGAACCACAGACAAAUCCACAAAGUGACCCUCCGUGAAUCUUAGAGGUCAUUUAAAGGUAGCGGUGUCUGCCUCGCUACUCAAAGUGUGGUCCGUGGACCAGCAGCAUCUGUACUCCCUCAGGGCCUGGUAGCUGUGCAGAAUCUCAGGCCCCAGGCUGGACCCGAGGAAUCAGAAUCUGCAUUUUAAUGAGGCCCCUGGGUGAUCUGUAUGCACACAACAGUUUGGGAAACAUUUGCCUAUGGGGUAUCAUUUCAGACUUUCAAGAAUUUUUACCAUUAGAAAUGAAGAUAACAACAACAGUCAGCAUCGUUAAACUCAGCAUCCUGAUCCAACCACAGACCGGUCCAAACUUUUCAAAAUAUCAUCUGAGCAGAAAAGCUUAUAAACUGCUUUGCUUAUCAGCCAACAGCUGACCUCAGAACCUUUGGCAAGACAAAAUGUUCUGCCCUCCCAAUGAGAUCAGUAUCGCAUUUCUGGUGGUGUAUUUAUCUAGUUUUCAUUGCUGACAUGUAUUACGUAACACCACCCCUCUUUCUUCUGCCAUCACUGGCUUAUUUGAACAUCUGACUUACCUUGACCCUAGAGCACAGUGCAGCUUAUGCAACAAUCUGAACGUUUCUCCUCAGAAGUCCCCUGUGUCCCCAUGGUGGCCUCGGCUCCUGUCCUCAUGCCGCAGACAAGAUAGCUGUGUCCCACCUCUGAUUCUCUAGGCGACUUUAGGAUCCAGCCCUGGCUGCGUGCUUACUGCCUCCCAUUCUUCGAGGAUUUUCUGGGCUUGACUAAGAGUCUUUCAGAUCUUCUUUCCCAACUGUGCUGGGCUUCGAGACUGCUCAGAGAACAGAGGCACCUGGCUCAGAACGUGUGUAGAUAAUACCAAGCAGAAUCUUCCUCCUCUCUCCGUGAUGGGGAAUGAGGGGGCCAGCAGGCAGAUCAGGACCAAGGAUGGGACCCGAGGGGUCGGCUGGGGAAGGAAGAGGUCCAGAGAGAACAGUGCUGAAAACCCAGGGUUCUAGGGUCCAACAGAACUGAGACUUGAUCCAGCUCGGCUUCUUAUUUGCUGGGUGACAUUGGGUAGAUUACUCACCUACUUUGAGCCUCUUGGUCUCAUCUAUAACAGGGAGAGGAUGAUGCCGACCUCUGGGACUAAGUUGGCUAACAUUAGUAAAAUUCUGGAUGCUAGGCUUGUCAUAUACAGACAUUCAAUAAGAGGGAGCUUGUUUUUUGAUUGUAGAGUAAGUCAUUGAGGGAGACAGCCCACAAAUGUCAUGAAACUUCCAAUUCUUAAAACACACACACAUGCUAACAUGUUUUCCUGCA